rnacentral:lncRNA from 1 species
UUGGCAAAAUGCAGUGAAGUUUUCUUGAGUAAAUACCAGAAUUACAUGAUACUAAUUAUCUGUACUAACCUGCUAAUCCAGGGCCCAUAGAAACCAGUGCUUUGGGAGGACUCUGGUGAUCAUUACUGCCCUCUACAGACUAUUCUGGAAAAAGACAUGCUACUGCUGUCCUGGUUCCUGCUCUCCCCACCUUGAUUGCUCUUCUCACCUGUGUGCUUGUCCCAUCUCAUCUCAGAUACAACCACUACUUGGGUGUGUCAUGGGGGGAGUAAACAAUGAAUGCAGAUAAGCAUUUUGAACCUGAUUACUAUUACUUUUCUCAGUCCAUGUGCUUAUUUUACACACACACACACACACACACACACAUACACACAGAUUCCUUGCUUUUUUUCCUAAAGUUGUGACAUGUUCACAUUUUCCCAGCUUUUUUUUUUUUUUUUUAGAGACAGGGUCUCACUAAGUUGCUUAGGGCCUUGCUAAAUUGCAGAGGUUGGCCUUGAACUUGUCAUCCUUCUGUUUCAUUCUCCCAAGCUGCUGGGAUUACAGGCAUGCAUUAUCUUGCCUAGCUUUCUUUUUCUUGUUUUAAGAGGUGUUUUAUAGAAAUAAAUGGUUUUAUAUUUUUUUAUGGUACUCGAUAGUGAACCCUGGGGUGCUCUACAACUAAGUUACAUCCCCCAGACACUUCUACUUUUUAUUUAGAGACAGGGUGUCACUAAUUUGCUGAGGCUGACCACAAACCAGCAAAUCUCCUGCUUCUGCAUCCUGGGUCACUGGGGUUAUAGGCACGGUUCACUGAGCUGGGCUUUCUAUCAUGCGAUUUAAAAUAGUAAUACUUCCCUUCCUUACGUGAGAUUAUUUAACCCAUAUCUGGCUGUGUUCCCCAGCUACCAGAGUCAUGCAUUCAACCCAUCAGGGUCUUCCUCAUGUUUGUGUUUAUACAACAGGAGCCCUUCCCAAACAGCACAGGAGGGAAUUGUUCUCAGGGAUUUUGCAAGGCAUUGUCAUAGGUUCAAAGCAGCAGCUGGUCCAGAUGAUGCUCACCCAGUUCCCACCUCUCCUAAGGGAACACUUAGAGUGAUAGGGCCCUUUUCAGUGUAUAUACCAUUCCUCAUUUGAAGAAACAGAAUAUGCAAUGUAAAUACAAAUACUGACAUUUUAACAUUACUGGGUUUGCUGCCUCUCUCCCCAGGAAAAGGAAGUCAAAGCAAAACUUCCCUGUGAAUAGUCUGCUAUAAGUCCAUUUGUUUCUGAUCAUUUCUUUCAAUAGAAUGUUCCUAAGUUUUUAUGCACAUGAGUUGUUGGCCAGCACCAAAGGAAAAGAAAAACUUAUUUUUGCUUUGCCAUAUAUUUUUUCCUGUGACUAUAAGUCUUUUAUUUCUUUCUUUCUACAGAUUAAAGUGCCUCAUGCAAGUGGGGCUCAGUGGUAAUGCCAGGUACUCAGGGAGUAUGCUGAGCAGGAGGAUUGCCAGUUUGAGGCCAGCCUCCCUAACUUAGGGAGGCACUACCUCAAAUAAAAUGGUUAUAGAUAGAUUAGUGAUAGUGAACUUGCCUAGUGUGAGUGAGGCCCUCAUUUUGAUUCCCAGUACUGAGUUAUAAUAAUAAUCAUAAUGAUUCAAAAAAUUCAGUGCAUCAUCUGC